UAGCUCAGUGGUAGAGCACCUGCCUAGCAUGCAGGAGGCUCUGGGUUCAAUUCCCAG
rnacentral:tRNA from 1 species